UACGAAGGGGGCUAGCGUUGUUCGGAAUUACUGGGCGUAAAGCGCACGUAGGCGGGUUGUUAAGUCAGGGGUGAAAUCCUGGAGCUCAACUCCAGAACUGCCUUUGAUACUGAAGAUCUUGAGUGCGGGAGAGGUGAGUGGAACUGCGAGUGUAGAGGUGAAAAUUCGUAGAUAUUCGCAAGAACACCAGUGGCGAAGGCGGCUCACUGGCCCGAUACUGACGCUGAGGCACGAAAGCGUGGGGAGCAAACAGG
rnacentral:rRNA from 1 species